GGUUUCUUGAAAAUAUAAGAGAUUUGACCUGCCCACUGAAUAGAGAUUAAAUGGCCGCGGUAAUUUGACUGUGCAAAGGUAGCAUAAUCAUUAGUUUUUUAAUUGAAAACUAGUAUGAAUGGUUGGACGAAGUAAAUUCUGUUUUAUAUUAAUAAAUUGAAUUUAUUUAUUAAGUAAAAAGACUUAAAUGUAUUUAAGGGACGAGAAGACCCUAUAGAGUUUAAUAAAUUUAUUUUUAAUUGAGUUAAUGGAGAAAUUUUUAAUUAUGGAGAAGUUUAUUUUGUUGGGGAGAUAAAAGAAUAAUAAAAACUUUUUUUUUUAGUAAAUUUAAAAUGAUUAGUUAAAUUGAUCCAUUAUUAGUGAAAAAAAGAUUAAAUUACCUUAGGGAUAACAGCAUAAUUUUUUUUGAAAGUUCAUAUUGAAAGGAAAGAUUAUGACCUCGAUGUUGGAUUAAGAUAAAUUUUGGAUGUAGAUGUUCAAAAGUUGGGUCUGUUCGACCUUUAAAAUCUUACA
rnacentral:rRNA from 1 species